UACGGAGGGGGCAAGCGUUGUUCGGAAUUACUGGGCGUAAAGGGCGCGUAGGCGGUGUAGCAAGUCAGGCGUGAAAGCCCCGGGCUUAACCUGGGAAUUGCGCUUGAUACUGCUACGCUAGAGAACGGGAGAGGAUGGCGGAAUUCCCAGUGUAGAGGUGAAAUUCGUAGAUAUUGGGAAGAACACCGGUGGCGAAGGCGGCCAUCUGGACCGUUUCUGACGCUGAGGCGCGAAAGCGUGGGGAGCAAACAGG
rnacentral:misc_RNA from 1 species